UUUUAUGUCAAUUGCAGGUAAUUGAGUCAGGUCACACCUAAUUGGGCUUAACCAUAUUUUAAAGGUCAAAUUAAGUGAAAUUGGUUGAGUCCAAUUCAGCAGGAUUUAUCAUCCGGAGUCAUCAGGUCUUGCAUCAAAAUCAGAGUCCACCUCAAAGCAGAAUAACCAAAUCAAGAUAUCAAUGGACCCCACACCUUAUCUUUUUGGCAUCAUCAGCCAGAAAAGAAACUAGAGGUGCAGGAAAUAAAUCAAGUAGUUAAUCUCUCCCAUCUAGUCAACCAAUCUAAAUUCUGGAUAUUUUGGUGUGAGGACCCCUAAAAGGUAAGCUACAGAACUCCAAAUUGAGCAAGAUUAGAUCCUACAAAAUUUUGAGAGAAGCAAGAAAGGAACAUAAUUUACAAAAUUGAAUUUGGAUUCCAGAUGAGGUGGCUACAGUAGGUUGAAGUUGGUAACAAUGUUGGACACAACAAGAAACACCUGAUACACCCAGAUUCUUCUUAGUGUUUCUUGGCACAAAGAUCUGAUAUGGCAACCAAUUUUGGGUGGCAAAGAGCUAUCUUGGAAAGAAUUAAAUGAAAAAAAAUCAGAGUCCAAACUAAUUCUGCAUGAGGAGCAAACUUAAAAAGAAUUGGAACCAAUUCUUGGAAAACUUGAUUUGGGCAGCCGAAACCUUACUUUAUUUUGCAGAUUUUGUGGACCCAGGAAGGAAGAAAUU
rnacentral:lncRNA from 1 species